rnacentral:rRNA from 1 species
UGGGGAAUAUUGGACAAUGGGCGCAAGCCUGAUCCAGCAAUGCCGCGUGUGUGAAGAAGGCCUUCGGGUUGUAAAGCACUUUUAUCAGGAGCGAAAUACUAUCGGUUAAUAACCGGUGGGGCUGACGGUACCUGAGGAAUAAGCACCGGCUAACUUCGUGCCAGCAGCCGCGGUAAUACGAAGGGUGCAAGCGUUAAUCGGAAUUACUGGGCGUAAAGGGUGCGUAGGCGGUUAGUUAAGUCUGUUGUGAAAUCCCCGGGCUCAACCUGGGAAUGGCAAUGGAUACUGGCUAGCUAGAGUGUGUCAGAGGAUGGUGGAAUUCCCGGUGUAGCGGUGAAAUGCGUAGAGAUCGGGAGGAACACCGAUGGCGAAGGCAGCCCCCUGGGCUAGCACUGACGCUCAGGCACGAAAGCGUGGGGAGCAAAC